rnacentral:rRNA from 1 species
GGAUUGAACGCUGGCGGCAUGCCUAACACAUGCAAGUCGAACGGGAGUAGCAAUACUCUAGUGGCGGACGGGUGAGGAAUACGUAGGAAUUUGCCCUUAAGUGGGGGAUAACCCGGGGAAACCCGGAUUAAUACCGCAUGACCUCGAAAGAGCAAAGUGGGGGAUCGCAAGACCUCACGCUUUUGGAGAAGCCUACGUCGGAUUAGCUAGUUGGUGAGGUAAUGGCUCACCAAGGCGACGAUCCGUAACUGGUCUGAGAGGAUGAUCAGUCACACCGGAACUGAGACACGGUCCGGACUCCUACGGGAGGCAGCAGGUGGGGAAUAUGGACAAGUGGGCGCAAGCCUGAUCCAGCAAUGCCGCGUGUGUAGAAGAAGGUCCUUACGGGUUAGUAAGCUACGUUUAACGGUACGGGAAAGAAAAACGUCGUACUACUAAC